AAAGCCAAAGCUUGUCCUGACUGCGGACUGGUGAUUCUAAAUAAGCUGAUUGUAUAAUUACUGAUAUUGGUCUGAUUGAGGAAAUGGUAUUGUUUUUUGUUCAAUUGUGUUUUCCCCCAUGUACACAGGGCUCUGAUCACUUGAAGAUCCACAAAAUGGAUGUACUGUACAGGCAUGCAAUGUUGGGUCCCUUUUGGUCACACCUUUUCUUUACUCUGGCGCCCCCUACUGGUGCCAUGAGCUUCCCUAUACAGCCAGGACAGACGUGUUGACAUGGCAACGCUCAUCGCGUCACCUAGCGAACGAGCAGCCGCCGUUUCUUCCCGCGCCGCCGUUGUCAAGCCAAGUUUGCGCAGACGUGAGUCACCUGCGGCUGAGCAGUCGCUCCGUCAAGGUGCUCGCCCGUCCGCUGGGCGCAUACAGAACACCAAACAUGGCCGCCGGACGCCUUUUUCCGAGCCGCCUGUCCGCAGUAACCCCCUGAAGGCUGGACGGGCGUUCUGACUGGCGUGUGGAAAAAUUCGCCCACACACCCGGAGGAACUCCACACAUCCGCAGACGGGUCCCACGGGUCCGUCUCUCUCUUUCUCCCUCUCUCUCUCUCUCUCUCUCUCUCUCUUUCUUCCUCUCCCUCCCUCGCUACCUCCCUCCUCUCUGCCUUUCUAUUUUUGAAAAUCCGAACCGUGAUGACAAGGCCCGAAUGAGGAAUUGGGCUUUUUUCCCCCCCUCCACCCUCCAGGCCGCGUUGGAUCAGACUGCUUCAGAUCUUCCAUGUAACUCCCAGCGUUCCUCUGCGUCCCCAGAAGUAUCUCUGCAGCGUGCAUACGCAACACGCUACACACACACACACACACAGCGCGUCCCCACGAGGCCUGAACAGCGACGAAAACAACAA